CCCCUAGACGUUCUGGGCUGCACGCGCGCUACAAUAAUACGCACAGCGAGUAUCACCGAGCUCGAAAGGGCAAGGUAAACAAUAGAAAAGGUACUGUAAUGGUUAUAGAUCCUUGUAAUUAUUGAUCUUCAACGAGGAAUUCCUAGUAAGUAUGUGUCAUCAUCACGCACUGAUUACGUCCCUGCCCUUUGUACACACCUCCCGUCGCUCCUACCGAUUGGGUGAGCCGAUGAAACUCUCGGAUGUAGGCUAUUCAUAGCCCGCAGAAGAGAUUUGAAUCGUAGCGCUUAGAGGAAGGAGAAGUCGUAACA
rnacentral:rRNA from 1 species